CCUGGACCAUCCCACAGAUGCUCAAUCAGAUCUGGAUGUGGGGAGUGUGGAACCCAGAUGUUCAGAGGGAGAUGAUGCCACAUCUGGUCCAGCUGAUGGAAGGUCUUGAAGUUCUCUGACUGGCCUCGACUGAAGAUGGUCUUCUCACUGGAUUUAAGAUGCACAAUGAGGGACGUCUGCAGCGACUGAGAAAGAGUCUCACCACAUCCUGACAUGAGGAAAAAGACUUUAUUGAAGACUACAAUGAGAAAAACUAUCAGACAGCAGACGGCUGCAUUCAAGUCUGUAGCUGCGGAAUUCAUGGAUGAAUCAUCUGGCACUAGAGAGGAAGACCAUCAAACAUCCACGUCAGCUGAUGGAGGUCCAAGAGUCUCACCAAACAACCAACCUACAGAGUGAAGACCUCAAAUCUAAUUGGACGGCCUCCUAUUCAGCCACGUGUGAACAAAUGCCUCUAAGCUGAUUUGUUUUCUAAAAUAAAUCUAGUUUGAGUCCUAAUCUAUGCCUGUGUGUUUGCUUCUUU
ensembl:lncRNA